rnacentral:rRNA from 1 species
GACGAACGCUGGCGGCGUGCCUAACACAUGCAAGUCGAACGGAAAGGCCCUGCUUUGGUGGGGUGCUCGAGGGGCGAACGGGUGAGUAACAGGUGAGUAACCUGCCGGUGACUUUGGGAUAACUUCAGGAAACUGGGGAUAAUACCGGAUAGGAGCUCCUGCGGCAUGGUGGGGGUUGGAAAGUUUCGGCGGUUGGGGAUGGACUCGCGGCUUAGCCGCGUGUUGGUGGGGUAGUGGCUUACCAAGGCGUUGACGGGUAGCCGGCCUGAGAGGGUGACCGGCCACCUUGGGACUGCGAUACGGCCCAGACUCCUACGGGAGGCAGCAGUGGGGAAUAUUGCACAAUGGGCGGAAGCCUGAUGCAGCAACGCCGCGUGCGGGAUGCCGGCCUUCGGGCUGUAAACCGCUUUCGCCUGUGACGAAGCGUGAGUGACGGUAAUGGGUAAAGAAGCACCGGCUAACUACGUG